rnacentral:rRNA from 1 species
GACAGAGGAGCCAAGCGUUGUCCGGAUUGACUGGGCGUAAAGCGCACGCAGGCGGAACGGCGCGUGGGGUGUGAAAGCUGGCGGCUUAACUGCCAGUCGCCAUCCCAUACGGCCAUUCUGGAGCCUUGCAGAGGGCAGUGGAAUUGCCGGUGUAGUGGUGAAAUGCGUAGAUAUCGGGAGGAACACCAGUGGCGAAGGCGGUUGCCUGGAGCUUUGCUGACGCUGAGGCGCGAAAGCGUGGGGAGCGAUCCGG